rnacentral:rRNA from 1 species
GCGGUAGGCCUAACACAUGCAAGUCGAACGGCAGCACAGGAGAGCUUGCUCUCUGGGUGGCGAGUGGCGGACGGGUGAGGAAUACAUCGGAAUCUACCUUUUCGUGGGGGAUAACGUAGGGAAACUUACGCUAAUACCGCAUACGACCUACGGGUGAAAGUGGGGGACCGCAAGGCCUCACGCGAUUAGAUGAGCCGAUGUCCGAUUAGCUAGUUGGCGGGGUAAUGGCCCACCAAGGCGACGAUCGGUAGCUGGUCUGAGAGGAUGACCAGCCACACUGGAACUGAGACACGGUCCAGACUCCUACGGGAGGCAGCAGUGGGGAAUAUUGGACAAUGGGCGCAAGCCUGAUCCAGCCAUACCGCGUGGGUGAAGAAGGCCUUCGGGUUGUAAAGCCCUUUUGUUGGGAAAGAAAUCCUGUCGAUUAAUACUCGGUGGGGAUGACGGUACCCAAAGAAUAAGCACCGGCUAACUUCGUGCCAGCAGCCGCGGUAAUACGAAGGGUGCAAGCGUUACUCGGAAUUACUGGGCGUAAAGCGUGCGUAGGUGGUGGUUUAAGUCUGCUGUGAAAGCCCUGGGCUCAACCUGGGAAUUGCAGUGGAUACUGGAUCACUAGAGUGUGGUAGAGGGAUGCGGAAUUUCUGGUGUAGCAGUGAAAUGCGUAGAGAUCAGAAGGAACAUCCGUGGCGAAGGCGGCAUCCUGGGCCAACACUGACACUGAGGCACGAAAGCGUGGGGAGCAAACAGGAUUAGAUACCCUGGUAGUCCACGCCCUAAACGAUGCGAACUGGAUGUUGGGUGCAACUUGGCACCCA